UGUCACUCAGCUAUCUGUGGUGGUCUCUCUCCUAUGCAGGAUUUAGCUAUAGAACAGAUGGGAAGGGACUCAGAGGUCAUGAGAUAGAGAGAGACAUCCAAGAUGUAACAGGAGCCAUAAAAGGCAGAGAGUAAAAUCUCUUGGCCAACUCAUCUGGCAGCACCUAGGACCAGUGUGAGGUGUGUUCCUGCAUUUUUGUGCAUGUGUGUGUAUGUGUACGUGUGUGUGUGUGUGUCUGUGUGUGUUUGUGUGUAUUACUGGGAAUUGAACACAGACUACCAAAACAUUUGGCAAGUGCUCUACUACUGAGCUAUCUAAGAACUGUUUCCUCUUUGUCAUUGUGUUGUGCAUAAGGAGUGAGGGUACAUGAAUGUGUGUGCACAUGUUGAUGAUCAUCACACAUAUUCUUUUUCCUCCUCUUCCUCCUCUUCCUCCUACUCCGUCUCCUUCUUUGGUCGGAUCUUUGUAUUAUGACCCAGACUGGCCAGGACCUCACUGGAACUGGAGUUAUAGACAGUUGUGUUGGUGCUGUGAGUCCAACCCAGGACCUCUGGAAGAGCAGUCAGUGUUCACAGUUGCCCAACCACCUCUCGAGACAUUUAUGCCUAUGUUUUUGAGACCCUUUCUCACUAAACCUUGAGCUCACAGAUUCAGUUGGACUGGCUUGUUAGCAGGCCCCAAGGAUCUCCUGUCUCCUGCUUUUCCUGCAUGAGUUUUACAAGCAUGCACUGUUGCACCCAGCCUUUUUAUGUGGGUGCUAGGAAUCAAACCCAGAGCCUUAUUGCUUGAUGGCAAAUGUUUUACCAGCUGAGCCAUCUCCUUAUCCCCUCCUCAAGCCCCAGGAUCCCUGUCUUUAUCUGGGUGGUGAUAUUCUCCUGGGCUUGGGUCCUGGGUAGCUUCCCUCUGUCUGAUGUACUUUCUUCUGUCUAUUCUCAUCUGUUCUACUCAGCCCCUUCUUGAAGGAAGACACAUGAAAGGAACACAAAGAUGUAUUUGUCAAGACUUCGCAUUGGCUACUGAAAAGCAUCCCAUUGGAAUGAUCUGGGAAGAUGGGAUGGGGAAGAUAAUGAUGGAGGAGAUGAAGGCUAUUUAUUACCUCACAUGGGGCAGAGAACAAUGUCAGAAAGGGCAUCCUCAGGGUCUCUGGAAAUAGUAGAAGGUCACAACUGCUGAUACGGUAUGGAAGCCAGACUUGAUGGAAAGCCCAGCUUCAUGAGGGAUGUGAUGGGUGAACUGGGUCGAUGCUGUGCCUCGAGCUUUUCAUCUAUUACAUCUAGAAAAUCACAGUAUCUACCCUCAGUGUUGCUGUGAGAAUCCCCAGAGAUUUUUCACAUAGAGAGGGCUACUUAGAGAGUUCCUGGAAAGUCAGAGUUACAUAAAUAAACCCUGUCUAAAAAACAAAAAAGAAAAAGGAAAAAGAAA
rnacentral:lncRNA from 1 species